AUUGAACGCUGGCGGCAGGCCUAACACAUGCAAGUCGAGCGGAUGAAGGGAGCUUGCUCCUGGAUUCAGCGGCGGACGGGUGAGUAAUGCCUAGGAAUCUGCCUGGUAGUGGGGGAUAACGUCCGGAAACGGGCGCUAAUACCGCAUACGUCCUGAGGGAGAAAGUGGGGGAGCUUCGGACCUCACGCUAUCAGAUGAGACUAGGUCGGAUUAGCUAGUUGGUGGGGUAAAGGCGUACCAAGGCGACGAUACGUAACUGGUCUGAGAGGAUGAGCAGGCACCUGGGAACUGAGACACGUUCCAGACUCCUACGGGAGGCAGCAGUGGGGAAUAUUGGACGAUGGGCGAAUGCCUGAUCCUGCCAUGCCGCGUGUGUGAAGAAGGUCUUCUGAUUGUAAAGCACUUUAAGUUGGGAGGAAGGGCAGUAAGUUAAUACCUUGCUGUUUUGACGUUACCAACAGAAUAAGCACCGGCUAACUUCGUG
rnacentral:rRNA from 1 species